rnacentral:rRNA from 1 species
GCAGUCGAGCGAACGAUAAGGAGCUUGCUCCUUUGACGUUAGCGGCGGACGGGUGAGUAACACGUGGAUAACCUACCUAUAAGACUGGGAUAACUUCGGGAAACCGGAGCUAAUACCGAGAUAACAUAUUGAACCGCAUGGUUCAAUAGUGAAAGGCGGCUUUGCUGUCACUUAUAGAUGGAUCCGCGCCGUAUUAGCUAGUUGGUAAGGUAACGGCUUACCAAGGCAACGAUACGUAGCCGACCUGAGAGGGUGAUCGGCCACACUGGAACUGAGACAUGGUCCAACUCUAAUACGGGAGGCAGCAGUAGGGAAUCUUCCGCAAUGGGCGAAAGCCUGACGGAGCAACGCCGCGUGAGUGAUGAAGGUCUUCGGAUCGUAAAACUCUGUUAUCAGGGAAGAACAAAUGUGUAAGUAACUGUGCACAUCUUGACGGUACCUGAUCAGAAAGCCACGGCUAACUACGUGCCAGCAGCCGCGGUAAUACGUAGGUGGCAAGCGUUAUCCGGAAUUAUUGGGCGUAAAGCGCGCGUAGGCGGUUUUUUAAGUCUGAUGUGAAAGCCCACGGCUCAACCGUGGAGGGUCAUUGGAAACUGGAAAACUUGAGUGCAGAAGAGGAAAGUGGAAUUCCAUGUGUAGCGGUGAAAUGCGCAGAGAUAUGGAGGAACACCAGUGGCGAAGGCGACUUUCUGGUCUGUAACUGACGCUGAUGUGCGAAAGCGUGGGGAUCAAACAGGAUUAGAUACCCUGGUAGUCCACGCCGUAAACGAUGAGUGCUAAGUGUUAGGGGGUUUCCGCCCCUUAGUGCUGCAGCUAACGCAUUAAGCACUCCGCCUGGGGAGUACGACCGCAAGGUUGAAACUCAAAGGAAUUGACGGGGACCCGCACAAGCGGUGGAGCAUGUGGUUAAUUCGAAGCAACGCGAAGACCUUACCAAUCUUGACAUCCUUU